AUUGAACGCUGGCGGCAGGCCUAACACAUGCAAGUCGAGCGGAUGAAGGAGGCUUUUUCUUGGUUUCCGCGAGGGACGGGCGGGUAAUGCACAGGAAUCUGACCGACCGAGGGGGCUAACGUCAGGACAGGGGAGCUAAUCCAGCAUCGGACAUGAGGUGGAACGGGGGGGUUCUUAGGACAAAACGGUAUUAGCUGACACUAGGUCGUAUUAGCUAGUUGGUGGGGUAAAGGCCUACCAAGGCGACGAUCCGUAACUGGUCUGAGAGGAUGAUCAGUCACACUGGAACUGAGACACGGUCCAGACUCCUACGGGAGGCAGCAGUAGGGAAUAUUCGACAAUGGGCGAAAGCCUGAUCCAGCAAUGCCGCGUGUGUGAAGAAGGUCUUCGGAUUGUAAAGCACUUUAAGUAGGGAAGAAGGGCAGUAAGUGAAUACCUGGCUGUUUUGACGGUACCAACAGAAAAAGCACCGGCUAACUUCGUG
rnacentral:rRNA from 1 species